GCGCUCCCGUUCCGAACAUUCGGACAGGAAGAAUCCCGACCCCGUCACCCCGCCGUGGUGUAGCCGUGACACUCCUAUUUGCGCCAACAUGCGGGUGAGCGGGUCAGGCACCCAAGACGACGCCGGUCACCACCUCGCGCUUCCCUGUGGCGACCUCUCCGUCCGUCGCCGCAAACCUUGCCUCACUCCCAGGCAUCACGCCAUGCCACGCCGCCCAACAUAGCUCCCUCCGGCCGCGCUGGGCACAGACACAGAUCUUUCGAAUUGCCACAUCUAGGCUGUCGCAUCUACAGCAGUUCUCUGCUCCCGAGAUUCACUUCCGAUCCCGAUCUGCAUCGCCUCCCCCUGAUCUAUGCGCCUGUGCCAUUCUCCUUCCCCAUACUCCAUCUCUUUGCGUGCUCCUUUCCAGGUGGAGGUGGACGCAUACACGGGCGGUGGAUCCUGGGAAGGUGGAGGAAAACGUGCUGCCCAGGAACAAGGUGGCGCUCUACGAACAAUCAGCGUCCCCUCCCAUGGCUACCCACGCCCUCCACUCUGGCGUCCCUAUGGCAUGUGCAUCCCAUCCAUGUCCACGAGACAGAUCAUAUGAAUGUCAACUCUGAUCGAUGUGUUGCCAAUGGUACAAGAGCUGAAUCUCGGAGGCAGUCAUGGCGCUGCACACAACGAUGGCUUAACUGGCGAUGCAGGCGGCAUUGGGGGCACUAAACUCAAUGGUGUUGAUCUCGGCCAUUGUGGCGUUCCCAAUCCCCCCUCUGAACUGAAUGGUGAUGACUUCUAGUACUGUCUUUUUUUAAAUUUUGACUUUCCUGACAAUCCUAUCAGAGAUUGCACAUCUAAUCAGAGCACACUGUUCUCGGUGGAUGACUUUACGAAGCUGAUAAUGCACGUCGAAGUAUUGGACAUCGACCUGUCAAUGCUGAAUCAAGAGAGCAACGGCUCCGAACUAUGGCAUUGAACUGAUCUGUAAACUUUGCAUAUACGGUUUUGGUUUUUCUUCUGACUGUUGGUCAUUUCUCUCCUAACUGAGUGAGUGCCUAAUUGGGUUUGCGUGUGUAUGAUUGUACAGAACUGAACUGGUAUAUAAAGUAACUAUGUAAGCAAAGAAAGCCAUAGUGUUUGAUUUUUUUCCAUAGAGUGAGUGAUGCUUGCAAGCUAAGCUUUCCUGCUGUAUUUUGCCAUGUGUGCUAUCAAUUUUCUAUAAGUGGGAUGUACCACAUUUUUUUUCA